rnacentral:rRNA from 1 species
GAACCCAACAUCUUUAAUAGGAUGUUACGAUUGUGUGAAUACAUAGCACAUUCGAGGUAGACGCAGAGAACUGAAACAUCUAAGUACCUGCAGGAAGAGAAAGAAAAUUCGAUUCCCUGAGUAGCGGCGAGCGAAACGGGAAAAGCCCAAACCAGCAAGCUUGCUUGUUGGGGUUGUAGGACUCCAAUAUGGUAGUUCUUUCAGAUAGUCGAAUGACUUGGAAAAGUCAGUCAAAGAGGGUAAAAACCCCGUAGACGAAAUGUGGAAGACACCUAGGAGGAUCCUGAGUACGGCGGAACACGAGAAAUUCCGUCGGAAUCCGGGAGGACCAUCUCCCAAGGCUAAAUACUCCCUAGUGACCGAUAGUGAACCAGUACCGUGAGGGAAAGGUGAAAAGCACCCCGGAAGGGGAGUGAAAUAGAACCUGAAACCGUGUGCCUACAACAAGUCAAAGCCCGUUAAUGGGUGAUGGCGUGCCUUUUGUAGAAUGAACCGGCGAGUUACGAUUGCAUGCGAGGUUAAGUUGAAGAGACGGAGCCGCAGCGAAAGCGAGUCUGAAUAGGGCGUUUGAGUAUGUAGUCGUAGACCCGAAACCAUGUGAUCUA